CUGGCCCAAGUUGGCACCAUCAUUGCGCUCUUCCCAGGCAGUGGAGAAGCACAGAUACUUUUGAGUAGCAGCGUAAAAUGAUCAGGGCUGUUCCGUAAGAAUAUUAUAUGGGACCUAAAAUUCUUAAAAAGAAUGAUACGCUCAUUUGUGUGUAGAUGUAAUCAAGAAUAUCUAGUUGAGAUCCUCCUGAAUUAUCUGGAUGGUCCCUAAAUCCAAUGACAAGUGUCCUUAUAAGAGACAGAAGAGAAGAAGACACAGGCACAGAGAAAACCAUGUGAAGAUGGAGGCACAGAUUGGAGUGAUGCAACCACAAGCCAAUGAAUUCCUGGAGCUACCAAAAACUGGGUGGGGCAAGGAAGGAUUCUACCCUAGAGCUUUGGGAGGGAGUACAGACCUGAUGACACCUUGAAUUUGGACUCCUGGCCUC